rnacentral:rRNA from 1 species
UCGAGCGGAACGAGUUAACUGAACCUUCGGGGAACGUUAACGGCGUCGAGCGGCGGACGGGUGAGUAAUGCCUGGGAAAUUGCCCUGAUGUGGGGGAUAACCAUUGGAAACGAUGGCUAAUACCGCAUAAUAGCUUCGGCUCAAAGAGGGGGACCUUCGGGCCUCUCGCGUCAGGAUAUGCCCAGGUGGGAUUAGCUAGUUGGUGAGGUAAGGGCUCACCAAGGCGACGAUCCCUAGCUGGUCUGAGAGGAUGAUCAGCCACACUGGAACUGAGACACGGUCCAGACUCCUACGGGAGGCAGCAGUGGGGAAUAUUGCACAAUGGGCGCAAGCCUGAUGCAGCCAUGCCGCGUGUAUGAAGAAGGCCUUCGGGUUGUAAAGUACUUUCAGCAGUGAGGAAGGUUCAUGCGUUAAUAGCGUAUGGAUUUGACGUUAGCUGCAGAAGAAGCACCGGCUAACUCCGUGCCAGCAGCCGCGGUAAUACGGAGGGUGCGAGCGUUAAUCGGAAUUACUGGGCGUAAAGCGCAUGCAGGUGGUUUGUUAAGUCAGAUGUGAAAGCCCGGGGCUCAACCUCGGAAUUGCAUUUGAAACUGGCAGACUAGAGUACUGUAGAGGGGGGUAGAAUUUCAGGUGUAGCGGUGAAAUGCGUAGAGAUCUGAAGGAAUACCGGNGGCGAANGCGNCCCCCUGGACAGAUACUGACNCUCAGAUGCGAAAGCGUGGGGAGCAAACAG